CCUACGGGUGGCAGCAGUGGGGAAUAUUGGGCAAUGGGCGCAAGCCUGACCCAGCAACGCCGCGUGAAGGAAGAAGGCUUUCGGGUUGUAAACUUCUUUUGUCAGGGAAGAGUAGAAGACGGUACCUGACGAAUAAGCCACGGCUAACUACGUGCCAGCAGCCGCGGUAAUACGUAGGUGGCAAGCGUUGUCCGGAUUUACUGGGUGUAAAGGGCGUGUAGCCGGGUUGACAAGUCAGAUGUGAAAUCCUGCGGCUUAACCGCAGAACUGCAUUUGAAACUGUUGAUUUUGAGUACUGGAGAGGCAGACGGAAUUCCUAGUGUAGCGGUGAAAUGCGUAGAUAUUAGGAGGAACACCAGGGGCGAAGGCGGUCUGCUGGACAGAAACUGACGGUGAGGCGCGAAAGCGUGGGGAGCAAACAGGAUUAGAUACCCCAGUAGUC
rnacentral:rRNA from 1 species